CCUACGGGAGGCAGCAGUGAGGAAUAUUGGUCAAUGGGCGCAGGGCUGAACCAGCCAAGUAGCGUGAGGGAUGACGGUCCUAUGGAUUGUAAACCUCUUUUGUCAGGGAGCAAAGGGCGCCACGUGUGGCGUUUUGCGAGUACCUGAAGAAAAAGGAUCGGCUAACUCCGUGCCAGCAGCCGCGGUAAUACGGAGGAUGCGAGCGUUACCGGGUUUUAUUGGGUUUAAAGGGUGCGUAGGCGGAAUGUCAAGUCAGUGUGAAAAUUUCGGGGCUCAACCGCGUAGUGCCGGUGAAACUGGCAGUCUUGAGUGAGCGAGAGGUAUGCGGAAUGCGUGGUGUAGCGGUGAAAUGCAUAGAUAUCACGCAGAACUCCGAUUGCGAAGGCAGCAUACCGGCGUUCAACUGAC
rnacentral:rRNA from 1 species